UACGUAGGGUGCGAGCGUUGCCCGGAUUUAUUGGGCGUAAAGGGCGCGUAGGCGGCUCGGCACGUCCGUUGUGAAAUCGCUCGGCUCAACUGGGCGAGGUCAGCGGAUACGGUCGAGCUUGAGCCAGCUAGGGGGCAAUGGAAUUCCCGGUGUAGUGGUGAAAUGCGCAGAGUAUCAGGAGGAACACCGGUGGCGAAGGCGGGUCUCUGGGGCCGUAACUGGACGCUGAGGAGCGAAAGCGUGGGGAGCGAACAGG
rnacentral:rRNA from 1 species